rnacentral:lncRNA from 1 species
UUCAUUCAUAUUUUUCUUCUCCUUUCUCUUUUUUUUUUUUUUUCAUUUUUUUCCCUCUCUGACAACUAAUUGAGCAUUUAAGGGAAUAUGAGAUAUUACAGUUUUCAUUCAUAUUUUUCUUCUCCUUUCUCUUUUUUUUUCUUUUUUUUUCAUAAGGAGUAUGUAUUGACAUGUAUACAUCCUUCUAUUUUUUUUUCAUUCAUUUUUUUCUUUUAUAUUUUUCUUUUCUUUUUCUACCAACUUCUGAAAUAUUACAAACAUAAUUAUUCAACCCCCACACAACUCCAAACAAGACUCUU